rnacentral:rRNA from 1 species
UACGUAGGGUGCGAGCGUUAAUCGGAAUUACUGGGCGUAAAGCGUGCGCAGGCGGUUUUGAAAGACAGGCGUGAAAUCCCCGGGCUCAACCUGGGAACUGCGUUUGUGACUCCAAGACUAGAGUACGGCAGAGGGGGGUAGAAUUCCACGUGUAGCAGUGAAAUGCGUAGAGAUGUGGAGGAAUACCGAUGGCGAAGGCAGCCCCCUGGGCCAGUACUGACGCUCAUGCACGAAAGCGUGGGGAGCAAACAGG